rnacentral:misc_RNA from 1 species
GAUGAAGAACGUAGCGAAAUGCGAUAAGUAAUGUGAAUUGCAGAAUUCAGUGAAUCAUCGAAUCUCUGAACGCACAUUGCGCCCGCCAGUAUUCUGGCGGGCAUGCCUGUUCGAGCGUCAUUACAACCCUCAGGCCCCCGGGCCUGGCGUUGGGGAUCGGCGGAGCCCCCCGUGGGCACACGCCGUCCCCCAAAUGCAGUGGCGGUCCCGCCGCAGCUUCCAUCGCGUAGUAGCUAACACCUCGCGACUGGAGAGCGGCGCGGCCACGCCGUAAAACACCCAACUCUUCUGAAGUUGACCUCGAAUCAGGUAGGAAUACCCGCUGAACUUAAGCAUAUCAAUAAGCGGAGGA